rnacentral:lncRNA from 1 species
UACAUAAAAAAAUUAAAAGAAAAGCGGAUAGUGAAUGAUAUAUAACAUAACAACAAAAGGAAUAGCUUAAUAUAUACUGAUAAUAAUCAUAAGUCUCCAAAAUAACAAACAUAAAUCAAAUCAUAUCAUCACAUCUCCGUGAGCUACAAAGCAUAACUGAUAACUCUCUCUCAUUAUAAAAUUUAUAUGUAAUAAGACUCACUCCCUAAAAGACUAAAAACCCAGUGGAUCCGCCGCUACUAAGCCCACAUAACGUCUAAACAACGCAAAAAAAGAAAAAAAAAUGAAGAAACCACUCUACACACCCAAUAAGCUAGUGACACGUAAUCAGAUAGAGAACCGGCCUCUUAAACCCUGAGAACUGAGCCGAACACCAGAGCGGAAAGGAGAGCGACACCAGCGGCGGCUAAGGAAGGCGAGAUCGAGCCGGCUCCGGAAGCGGGAGCUGGAGCGGGAGAGAGAUCUUGAGCCGACCCUGCGAGAACCAAGGCGGCCAGGACAACGGCCAUCAUCAGCGUAGCCAUUGAAGCCUUUGAGAAUGCCAUUAUUGAAGCCUUUUUUUCUCAGGGUUUUUGAGAGCGUAACCGAAGGAAGCUGAGAGAGAUUCUUUUUCCUGUGUCUGUAUGUGGGAAGUGUUAGUAUUUAAGACAUGAGAAGAAAAUAGUGAGGUUUAUUUAUAGACUGAAAAGUGUGGACGGGAAGAGAGAAUUUCGGGCAGCGGCCCGGAUUUUUCCAGUCUGUCUAUUGGUUUCUUGACAGCUAUGUUUAUUUGUGGGGCCCAGUUAAUUAUAAUUUCACGCGACCGUUUAGGGUAUCGAACGGCGAAGCGACGUCGUGUCGGUUCACGAGUGUGACUUACGCCGAGGAAAUAAUUGAUUCUUUGGGAUUGGGAAAAAUUUGAGCAAAGUAAAAUUACGGAAACAGCAGCGAAUUAUAAUAUCGCAGUCUGUGAUAAACUUGAUAACUAUCUACUUGAAUUGAUAGGACAUAUAAAAAGAACAUUGUAUUAUUUAAAGGAUUGAAUAAUUUAAUUGAUAAAAAUCUCUUACCGCUAAGUUUGGAGAUCCAUUUGCACUCAAAUUUGGUGGAGGAAAAUUUUGAUUUCAGUUGUGUUAUGUUAUUAACAAAAAUUAUUGUUCAAAAAAUGCCUUUUUGUAGCUGCAAUAAAUGAGAAAAUUUUAAAGUACUUUUUUUUUAUUAUUUAUAUAAAUUGAACGAAAUCUUGGUGUGAUUAUUUUGUAAAUUCUCGAGAACUUUUGGGGUGGGGUGGGGGAUUUUGUGUAUGAAUGUAUGAUGAGUUCAUUGAAGAGGCGAAUGUUUAAUGGUGGGAUUGAUGAUUAGGGAUCAGUGAUGGUGCAGUUGAUUCCGCUACAAAGAUUUUUGUAAGCGCCCACAGACAGCCCACGUGGGAUGCGGUGGCUCGACCAUUAGGAGGAGGACGCGUGGAGACGUGGAAGGGCACGGGCUUUUUUAAUAUUCGAAUUUUGAAUUUGAAUAAUCGGAUGUGGACCUGUGGACAGUAUGAAAUGAUCGUGAAUUUUGUGGGUUUCCAGAACUUUCCGUUUGGCGUGUGCGACUGUGUGUUCAUUGGCAGGCACAUGUAGGAGUGUUACGAAGUUUACGCGUUAAACGUAUGCGGAAAGAAAAUGGUUUAACUUUGGGUAAAUGUUUAAAAAAGGAAAUUUCAAUCAACGCUUCUUCUUCUUCUUCUUUUUUUUUUUUUUAUUCCAUAAAAGAAGAUCUUUAAUUUCUGUAAUUAUAUCAUAAUUGAGUCCAAGAAGAUCUGGCUGCAUUGUUGUAAUUUUAUUUAGUUAACCAUAUAAAUUUGAGUCCCGAAGUUAAAAACUUAAUUUUAAUUUUAACUGCUCUUCCAUCUUCUUUUUGUUUUUGUUUUUGUUUUUAAAUGAUCAUGAAACACCUCUUCUCAUUAAUUAAUGUAGAAAAAAAAAGGUUUCAACCACUCCUACGUAUAUUAGCAUGAUUUCUUUUUUAAAUAUUAUUUGAUUGGUAUCAUUGCAAAGUUAAUUUAGAUUCAGUAGUUUAUUUUGGCUAAAACAUCAUAUAUUUAAGAUGCAUCAUCAGAAAAUUGAUUUAGAGUCACCUAAUUUUGAGCUCAAAUAUUAUAUAUUUGCACUCACAAUCAUAUAAUUGGUUUAGAUUUAAUCUGUUUUAAGCUCAAAUAUGUAGCUAUCACAUAAAUAAUUUAGAAUGUUACAAUAUUCUAAGGGCGUGGUCGGGUUAAUUAUAGUGCAGUUGUAGCCUCUACCAAAAUCCGGGUUCGAUUCUUAGAGAUCAAGAUUAUGUUUAGGCUCGCCCACCUCCUCUUACUUUAAAAAAAAAAAAUUUAGAAGGUUACUAAUAUUUUUUUAAUUAUAAAUAUCAAUAUAUAUUGUAAUGUAAUAUUCUUUUUUUUUUUAAAAAAAAAAGGUCAGGUAGAAUUGAUCUCCCUCAUACCAAAUUUUGUAAAAAAUAAUUUAGGUUAUGCCGAUUCAUAAGAUGAGGGGUUCAUAUAGUUUAGUUCAGUUGAUAAUUUUUUUUUUUUGGUUGAAAAAAGAGAUAUGAGAUUUAAAAUCAGUUUAGGUGAGCAAGGACGGUUUUGGGUUGUCACCGAGCUAAAUUAAAAAGGAUUAAUGAGAUGAGACGAGUGGUUUGUUAAAAAGAAUAGUGCCACAUAUUAUAAAGUUUGUGUCAAAAAAAUUCAUCCUAUAAAAGAAGAGACACUCCUAAUAGGCAUGAAAAAAAAUACAAUAAAUCGUUUUAAAACAUAACUGUGACUAGAACAUCCCCUUGUGAAGAUAUAUUUUUUAUUUUUUUAAAAAAAAUUAUUUAAAUAUCUCUAAUGUUCAUGCAACAAAUACGAUGAAUAGUCACAAGGGCAGUCUAGAAAAAGGCAUUUACAAAUACACGGCGGGCCAACAAAGAAUCAUUCACCUUCUAAUCCUUCGAUGUCUGCUUGCAACUCAACUAAACUAACAGCAUUCCAAAAUCAGCAAGAAAACGAUUUAAGAACUUAUUUUGGAAUGCUAUUAGUUUUUAAGGAUUAAUGAGAUGAGAUGAGUGGUUUAUUAAAAAGAGUAGUACCACCUACUGUAAAGUUUAUGUCAAAAAAAUCCAUCCAAUAAAAGAAGAGACACUCGUAAUAUGCAUUAAAAAAAAACACACAAUAAAUCAUUUUAAAACAUAACGUGAAUCAAACAUCACCUUAUGAAGAUAUAUAUAUUUAAAUAUCUCAAAUGUUCAUGCAACAAAUGCGAUGAAUAGUCACGAGGGCGGUCGAGAAAAUGCGUUGACAAUUACACGACCGGCCAACAAAAAAAUCAUUCACCUUCUAAUCCUUCAGUGUCUGCUUGCAACUCAACUAAACUGAUAGCAAUUAGCAUACCAAAAUAAGCCAAAAAAAAAAAAAAAAAAGAUUUAAGAAUCUUAUUAUUUUACUCGUUAAUAUUGCUAAGCAUAUGGCAGCCCUGGGCGGCUGUGGAGUGCAGCCUGGCGUUGGAUUUGCUCACAGACAGGACCUGUAAGGCUGAAACAACACGGCAGCAACAAAGAAAGUAGUUUUAUUUACGUAAUACAAUUUUUUAUACCUUUAUUUUUUAUCUGCAUGAUUUAGUUCUUACACAGACGUGCUAACGAGAAUCAUCCAGUAGCUGGUGUCACUUGUCAACUACUCCUUAACUUAAAGAGCAUAUUUGGGAUUGUCAAGUAUUCCCAAAUUAGUGAUUAUUUGAGAAUUUGUUAUCACAUAUGGUUGGUUCGAGUUAUUCUCUCAGACAUAUCACACCAAUAAUCAUCAAAUAAGUGAGAAUCAAACAAAAUUUGAAAGCAAAUUCUCAAGUAAUUGGUUAGAUUGUAUGAAAAUUUGACUUGUGAAUAUCAAGUAACCUCAGAAUUAGAAUGACUGUAAUGUAUACAUUGGCAUUUACUAUUUACUAAUCACCAAUCAUAGCUUUCUAUUUGGCUCAAUGGCUGAGUGCAAAUCCAGAUGAGCAUGAAAUUCAAAUCAACUCAAAAACCGUUAGAGAAAACAAAAUAUCUUUGAAGUAGUUAUCACUUCAUUAUUAUCAGUAGGAUGAAAAUGAUCGAAGUUAAAAACGUCCAAAAUUAUUAAAUUCAUUUAUCUAACCUGAAUAAUGGACACAUAUACCACGUUGGCUGUCAUUCCUCUGUACAUACAAGAAUCUCACUGUAUCAUCAAAGAGGCUAAUCCUAUGUAACAGUCCUCUCAAUUCGUAUUAUGCAACACGUCUAUCCGAAAAGCUCCUAAUCAUCUUUCUUCCUCGGCUAUUACCAUUCAUUCAAAAGUCAACUCAAAAGGUAGACAAAUUUAUUUGUUAAAAGCCCAAAACUUUAGAUGAUAUAUUCAUCAGAGGUUGUAAAGCACUCGGUGCAAAUUUUCUUCCAAAGAGAAAGCAAACUGUAGAGGGCUGGUUAUUGUAUUUGCAAUGCUGACCUCCAUAAACUUUCUUGAAAAACUCCUCUGUUAUGUCGGCUCUUCCGAAUGUGGCUGGAUGAGCACCACCUCUCGACCAAUCAACCCAAGUGCUGCUUCUAUUUGCCAAGAGAUUUGGCAUUUGAAUAGAUAGCAUGGUGGGAAAAUAGUGUUCGUCCACAUAACAAGGUGGUCUACAGAAUUCCGCGAAUUUUGGAUAAUAUGUAGUAUCUUCCACAAUGUUGACUGCAAGCCUUCGGUUGAUUUCAAACCAUUGGGAUCCUUUGCGCCACUGGGUAAUGUUCACCACAGGUGCCAUGUUCGCAUUGUAGCGUCCUCUCCCAUAUGGUCCAGGGUCAUCAAAUGAACCCAUGAAACUAUGUUUGGAUUUCUUUAUGUAAUGGUAGAUGAGGGAGAAAUUAUAAAGAGGAAUGCAAGACUCAGAGACAAGAAUGAACCAUUCAUUGGAGAUAUCAAGCAAUGCAUUAGCAAGGAGUCUUCUCUCAGCAUCGCACAUGCUCAUUUUUCCCCAUUCAGAGAUCUGCAAAGGGAAGAUACAGAAGACAUUACAAUCUCCUCUAAAUUUUGGGAAAUAUUGUAUUCAAAGCUAUGUGCUAAAGUAAAUAGAAUAAGCAGAUAAAGCAUAACCAUCAAAGGCUUUCAGAAGAAUGCAAGACAGUUCCACUACCAAACACUUCACCUAGAACAUGUAAUGAUAACAUUUGGUAAAGGUAAUCAUAAAACCUGUUAUUUUCCAGGAUCAAAGGGUAUCAAGUAUCAAUUUUACAUUUGGGACAGGAUUAUGGUAGCUGCUUGUUGUUGAAAUGGCACUGUAGCAGAGCUAACCAAAUCAGAUCUCCAUUUCUUGGAGGAUUUGUAUCCUGUUCCAGUUACUACAAGGGGGCAACUCAAGAACAUACAUGUCUUCCUACUUGUCCAAUACAAAAACGUAGGGAGAAAAAAAAAAUCAAAUAAAACGCACUUCGUCGAGCCAAUAUACAUACAGACAGCUCAACCCUCCCCCUUGGUGUUUUGGGAUCCAAAAUUUUUCACCUCCACACGAUAUAUGGCAGUGGUUACCAGCCUUAGAUAAACUUACACUGUUGCAGUUCCCAACUUUCAAAAUUCAACCCAAAAAAUGACCGACUCUUAUUGUUGAUCAUUCACUCAAACCCAGUUUUGCUGGUGAAAGUUAUAAUGUAUGCCAUCAAAUUAAUUAGAAAAUGUUUGCCAAGUAACAUUCAAGAAUGCCACCAUGUCAUCUAUGGAUUGUCCGCUCCUGCUAGAUUCCUCGCAAUUUCUCAUGGACUCCAAUAAUCCGUAAGGCAAUCAGGGGAAAAAAAAAGGAGCAAAAUUUUAACUUGGCUAAGCAAAAACAGAAUAUAUUUAGUUUAUAAACAGAAUCUGUUAAUCAGCAUAUUCCUAUUCAACAGAGUAUUUCUAGACUUUGAUCGUGAAUCACCAUGCAUAUAAAAGUGAUGAUGCUAAAUGGGAACACUACUUUCUACUUUCAAACACCAAGAGCCUACAGAUGACUGAGAGGUCCUAAGAACUGAAGAUUGUUAAACAAAAUUCGGAAAGCUAUGCAAGCAUGCUAACACUAUAUAGAUCCUCAAAAGAAUAAUUCACAUUAUAGGUAAAAAAUAAAGUACUGCUCAUCAUCACUCAAGAGAAGAAGAUCAUAACUUACAUCGUCAUAUAAUCAAUAGUACAACAAAGAUGAUCAGAUGAAGUUUCCACCAGAAUUUUAAAUGAAUAAAUAAAACCUGCAAUAGAUAGAUAUAAUGUCAGGCAUACCUGACUUGGGAUUUGUCUGUUGUAAAAAACUGAUGAAGAUGGAAACUUGUUCUCGAAUGUUGGCAGAGAAUGAACAUAGAUAGAAUAUAGCCCUUCAUGCCCCUUGAAAAACUUCUCCCAAAGAGGUCCAAGAGGUAAUGGCCCCUUCGUCAAGAACAUAAAUGCAAUCUUUGGAACUCUCUUAAAGGGAUACUCCUUCACUCGAGGCACAAAUGAGGCCCUCCAAAAAAGCUCCUUAUCACUCAUUGUGUGCAUUAAAUUUGAUGGAGGAUUUAUCCAAUAAUCCAAACCAUUCGGUAGUUCAGGGCAUGCCACAAAACUGGACUUAACCGUUGUCACAACACUCUGGACUCCAAACCGACGAACUGAGUAUAUACUAAUCAACGAAAAGGCUAUACACAGAGCCAGAAACAAACCAAAUAACUGAAAUAAUCUCAGUGGCAAGGCCCUAAAUUGAUUUGUCUUGUUAACAACUGCAGGGUCUUUGCCUUCCUCUAGCGGAACAACCCUUGCUUGCAUCUUUAUAACUCUAAAUCAAAUCAAAAUUUCACCUUCUGCGUCAGAUCCAAAUCAACAUCCUAGCAUCAAAAGCACUACUAAGCCUCAAAAUACCAGCUAAUUUAUUCACCAGAGCUAGCAAAAAAAACAGCUUUUUUUAAAUAUUUGAAAUUUGUGGAAUUCAAUAUGUUUCAGCAAAACAACCCCACUUAGCAACAGUAACGAAAUUAGAUCUAGAGCUGACACUACAGUACUCAAAAAGCAAGUAUUAACAGAUAUAGCACAAUCAUCAGCUUUCACAGCACAUGGGUUUCUUGAAUAAGAAGCUCUUAGCAAAAAUCAAAAGUCCAGAUCGGACUACUUGAUAGUCUAUAGAUCAAACGAAACCAUUAACGUGAUUGGUGGGGUGAUGAAAAACAGUACACGAUGGUGAACGUUCAACAUACCAUGUAAAUUUGUUGGGGCUAUAUGAGGAAACAAAGUUUGAAGCUUUAGCUCGAAUUGCGCCACCAAAGAAGAGAAACAGAACGGUCAAAUAAAUGAACAAAGUUAGGCAAAGAAAAUAAGAGGAGAAAAAGAGAAAAGUCCUUGGGACGCCCAAAGAGAGAGAGAAAAGGAGGUCCAAGAAAGUGGGGAAUCAAGGAAAUUUUGAGUGUGUGUGUAUGUAUGUAUAUAUAUAUAUAUAUAUAUAUAUAUAUAUAUAUAUAUAUAUAUAUAUAUAUAUAUAUAUGGGACUUUGAAUUUGAGGAAAUCACAGAAUUGUAAUUAGGUGAAUUGUGAAAUGUGGAGAAUUCAAAGAAUGUUUUUUGAUUUAACACGUACAGUGGAAGUGUCUGCUUCGUCUUUUGUGGGUUAGCCGUCACCAUGUGAGAGGCGGUUUUUGCAAGGUAAUAAUACGGCAAUGUCUUGCUGUCAUUUUGUAACGUUUUGGAAAACAAAUUUACCCUGAUUCAUUUGCCUUGAUAGAUCCUUUUUUUUUUUUAACCUUUUUUUUUAUAACUUGAAAUAGAAUGAAAUUAGUCAAAAUUUAAAUUUGAAUGAUAUGUAAAUUUUUUUAAAAUUUUUAAAAAUAAAUAUUAAAUUAUUUGUUUUUUAAUUUUAAAAAACUGACAGCCUAUACUUUUACAUUUUUACCCUUACUAAAUUUAAAUGUUGAAUAAAUAAUAUAUUUUUAAAAGAACUUAAAUAUGAUAAUAACAUUAUCUUUUUUUUUAAAAAAGGAUAAUAACAUUAUCUAAAUCAUCUUCAAGUAAAUGAUUUAUGAAAUCAUUCACUUGGCAUAGGGUUGUUCUAACUUAACCAAUGUUUUUUAUUCGAAUCUUGAAAAUGCAGUUGCGUUAAAUACUUAUUGGAAGAGCUUUGACGCCCUAGUGGUCUUACCCAGCUCGAAUUUGAAUUAGUCGAGACCUAAUGUAGUUUCGGAUACCAAAUAGUUUAAUACACGAAAAAAAAAAUUUAUAAAAUUAUAAUAUAAAAAGUUCUUUAAAAUUAUCACAAGUUCACAAUGCUAGUGCGUAAUAUAAGAAAAAACUAACAAGAUACUUGGGAAGUAAAAAAAAAGAAAGAAAAAACUGAACAAAAAUUCUACAAGAAAAGACUGUCAAUGGAAUCAAUUAUGGACUAUCAAAGGCCAUAAAGGAGAUUCAAGAAAUCCUUCGCGUGAAUGUUGUGUCUCAUCAUGAAAAGUAUCUUGCCUUGCCAUCUAUGGUAGGGAAAAACAAAAGACAAUUCUUCAAGUCGAUCAAGCUUCGAGUGCUCAACAAAUUAAAAGGAUGGAAGGCCAGGCUCUUCUCAAGCGGUGGGAAGGAAGUAUUGUUAAAGGCUGUCAUUCAAGCCACUCCUGUUUAUGCUAUGGGCGUUUUCAAGUUGCCAAAAUGCUUAUGCGAGGACCUACAGCGUUGCAUCACAAAUUGUUGGUCGGCCAACUAUGAUGACUCUAAAUGCAUUCACUGGCUUUCUUGGAAGAAUCUUUGCAAGCCAAGGAAGGACGGGGGGCAUGAGAUUUAGAUAUUUAGGUCCUGUUUGUGAUUGAAGUAUGCUGUUAAAAAAAAUUAUAGUUAUAUUAUAAAAAUUAAUAAUAUGUAGUAAAUAUAAAUUUUAAAUAAUAAUUUUGACAAAAUUAUUAAAGAUAUAAUAGAUUUUAUAUUAUACAAGUGAAAAAUCAUAUCAAUCUAAUUUUUAACUUAUAGCAGUUAGUAUUUACUGAACACUUUAGUGCUGUAGCUUAACCUCAAUCUCAAACGCGCUCUUAAGUUCCUUUAAUUAAGCGCUCUUGGCCAAGCAAUGUUGGGGAAUACUACAAGCACCUGAGUCUCUUUUGGCCAAAGUUCUUAAAGCUAGGUACUUUUCCAACACAAACUUCCUAAGUAGCAAAAUCAAAAGCGGCUCAUCUUUUGUAUGGAAGAGUACUCUAUGGGGCCGUGAAGCUAUCAACACUGGCUCAAGAUGGAGGGUUGGCGCUGGUAGGAGCAUAUUUAUUUAUAGAGAUAAUUGGAUGCCAAGUCCAUUAUCUUUUAAACCUAUAUCCCUGAAGACAUGCAUUGCCGAGUGAUUCUAAAGUUUCAGACCUGUUAAUAAAUGGUAACGAAUGGAAUGAGCAGCUAAUAAAGUAAUUCUUAAAAGGAGUCCCCUUGCCACGAGUCCCUACUAAUGACAUUUUAGUGUGGCGUUAUGAAAAAAAGGAGGAUUUUACACAGUUAAGAGUGGUUAUCAAGUGUCCCUUAUUCUCACUCAUCCUAAUUCCCCUUCAAGUUCAUUUGGCUCCGCUAAUUGGUGGUAUCCCUCUUGGCUUUUAACCAUUCCAUCUAAAGUCAAGAUCUUUUUCUGAAGAGCUCUACGCAAUAUACUCCCUACAUCAAAUAAUCUUUUUCAACGAAGGGUAGUGGAUUCCCCACAUUGUCAACGAUGUUACAGUGCUGUUGAGGACACCUUUCAUGUGCUAGUUAGCUGUAAGUUUGCGAUGAAGGUGUGGAAGUUGUCAACUAUGGCUGCUCACGUCACGAAUAGCCCUAAUAUGGAUUUUGCAUUUUUUUUGCUAAGAAUUUGGAAUCUUCGCUGUCAAAAGAGGACUACUAAUCUUUUGUGAUGAUUGCAUGGUCUAUUUGGCACUCUAGGAACAUAGCGCUCUAUCAACAUCAGAUGAUGGAUCCACAAAAUAUUCUUUGUGGCUGAAGCUGUUUUGAAUUCGACACUGCUACUCAAGGCUCCCCAAUUCAAGAGCUAUCGGUCUGUCCAACCGAGACGGAUGUUGGUUGGAUUCCACCAGAGACUCAUUGGUACAAAAUGAACGUUGAUGCAAACACUGACAUCUCUAAUGGAAUUACAAGUUUGGGUGCAAUAAAAAGAAAUUCCAAGGGAGAUUUCAUGGCUGCCUCAGCUCGCAAGAAAUCUUUUCUUGGUGACGUUGAGAUUACAGAUGCUGAGGUUGUCCUACAAUGCAUCAAGCUGGCGACAGAUUCGGACUUCUCUCCCUUGAUUGUCGAAUCUGACUCGGCAAAUGUUGUUCUUGUUGCAAAAAUAGUAUAUCGAUAUGCUACUUCGAUGGCACAUUUUGAGUGGGUUCCACGUAGCGAAUGUGGAAAAUCUUGUGAGGUUUGGAUUCUACUCCAUGAAAACUUCGAAAGUGUAUAUUUAUGUACUUAAAAUGGUGCUUGGCUGAAUGACAAAUUGUCUCUCAAAGUGCACUCUUGAAGUUGAAAAUUUGAAAGGAAAUGAGUUUUAUCCCACAAGGGAAAAUAAGUCAAGGGAUUUGUGUUUAUAUAUACACUUACCCAUGCAUGAGUAAGAAUUAUAAGGAUAGAGGUUUUCUCCACACGCGCAUGCGCCGGGGGAGGGGGUGUUGUAAAUUCUAGACUUAUUUGGUUAAAUUUGUGUGCGUCCGUGCGUCCUGCGCACGCGAAUAUCAGUCCAAAAUCACCCAAACUUGCAUGUCAAACAAGUUUUUAGAAAUUGUAAUACGCCCAUUAAUUAGCGAAAUUGACACUCUCUGUUAUUAACGAUCUUUGUUUGGUUGGAAGACCCUCUCGCAGACAUUGUGGUACACAUGUAAACUUUGUAUUUGUCCAGCAAGGAAAUGUUUUAAAAAAAAUAAAAAUUGUCGACUAUCAAAGGAACCGAUUCACUCUUAAACUUACAGUACACAAUAUUACAUGCCAAAUUAUGACUAAUUAUGCCUAAUGCAUUAAUAUCCUUUCACAACGGUGAAAUCUGAAGGCCCAAAAAUAUUGUCACUUGUUCAAGCCAAAAUAUUGAGGCCAGAUAAGCACCCUAAGGUCAAUAAAUAAUUAACGAAAUCAUACUAGCUUUCUAAUAAAAUCUAUCGAAAGUAAUAUAAAUUGAAAAAUGAUGGAGCACUUUUUAACCCUAAAGGCCUAAACUCAAAUUCACACCUUUAAGAAUGAAUUAAAAUCUAAUUAAAAAAAAGAUUUUAUAAAAAAAGAUUAUAUAAGGAUGAGUUUAUUAGUUGUACAUGGGUGACUUUUUUGAUAAAUAUAGAAAAUAAAUAAUUAAAUAGAGAUAUUUUUGACAUUAGAAUUUUAGUCGGUUUAUGCAGAAUUUUUAAUUUAGUAAAACGUAAAAAAAGAGGCUUAUUUUAUUCCAUCAAAAUUAUCUAAAAACCUCAUUAAAUCAUAAAAAUAACCAUCUUUAAUUGACUUAAUUAAUUAAGUUGUCAUUUAAUUAGAAAAAGAUACACCCCUUAGUUUUUAAUUCAAUUCGUAAUUAAACAGGAUACGUCUCUGUCAUUUGUGCACAAUUAAUAACAAUGCUUAUCCAGAAUCCUUUUAAUCGGCCUUUAAAUUGAAUAAGAAGAUGUUUGGAAGAAUUUUUUUAUCUCUAUCAUAAAUUGUGAGCAAGAAGAGAGGGCAUAUAACAACUAAGAGAAAAUAAGUACAAAGCACGAAAACCAGCUCUGCACUUUUUUCUAGUUCUUUCAGAUUCUGCACUCCGUUUAUUCCCCUCCCAUGUCAUGAAGAGAUGGGUCUUUUUCUCUUCUUCUUUUUUUUUUUUUUCCUAAUAUAAUUUCUAAAAGAAUUUAUGAACAAACAGGUAUUUAUAUGCACAAUUAAUCACGAGUCGCACAAACCAGUGAUUCCUGGCCACGAUCGUGCGAUAUUACGACAUUGCUGAUUUUUUUUCUUUUCUUUUCGUUGUGAGUAAUUAACAUAUAGGGCCCACCAACCACUGCAUCCCGAGAUUGCGUGCCAAAAUCAUGUAAAUUGAUUUUGGAAGUUUCGGAGCUAAGUACGCGUAGCAUUAUUACUGGAGAACAUUCAGCCUUCAAUGCUACGAGAAUUCUCGGGUUGUUGCACAUUGAUUUUGGAAGGUUGGUGCGCAGAAUGCCAUAGAAAAAGCUCACGCAACUCAGGUAAUUAUUUUUCCACGUGGCAGCUACAUGGAAAAUGAACGGGCACAGACUCCUAAAGUGCCACUAAAAUACAGUCGUAAUAGAUUAUACAAGCAAACGAAAGUUUUAAGAAAAAUGAAGUAUCAUUUCCGCAGCCCCUGCACAGAUUAGGGGAACUGCAAAGACAUGCUUUGACAAGAACAAAUCUCGAUUUCAAUCAUUCAGAAUAUUGACAUGCUGCACAAGAAAUUGAAUUCAUAUAUUUUCUGACCAAUGGUGAGUUGCAUCCCAUGGAUGCACUCCAUCAGCAGAACUGUCAACACACCAUGAUAUUUGUAUCCAGAAGACAAACUUUCCUAAAAAACACAACAUCAUUUAGCGAGCCAUUAAUCAGUUGACUGCUGUUAUGACAGCACUUUAUGCACGUAAUCAGAAGUAGACAUAUUUCGUCAAGCAACUCCCAUACAUUGCAUACUACAUGUAAUCCAGUCAAAUGUUUCUACCUCAUUCACAAGGAACAGUUAGGGCGUAUGUACCAAGAGAAGAGCUUUACUUCAGUGCUUCACCACUUCAAACUUGAAGCGGAGGUUGGAAAUCAUAACCGGGCACUCUCCUUUCUCAUCGUACUCGGCAUAGUCCCCUCCUGACAAGUCAAUGUCUUCAUACUGAGUCCCAGCAAGCUACACAAACAACUUACAGUUAGUUCGACAAAGCAAAACCAGAACAAAUAGAAUUUCUUUUUUUGGGGUCAUAGAGAAUUUUUCCUCAUAUUAAUCUCAGAUUAACGAGAUUAAUUUGACUCAUCAUCAUCGCACAAAUAAAAGAUGGCUUUAGUAACAACAAAUGUCUAUGAGGAUAGAAGCAAAAUGUGCAACAAGAAAAAGCAUCAACAGUAAUUAGAAGAAGAUAUAUUGAUGAUGAAUCUUCUUAGCUGCGGCAAAACAUUAACCCAAAAAGUACCAAGUGCAUUUACAGCUGUCUGCAUGGGAAUGAGAUAGUUAGGAGCACAGUAGAAAAAGAGGAGAAACAUGUGUAAUGCAUUCGCCUGUUCUUAUCGAAUGAAUGCAAGUUACACUUCAUCCAGCUCAUCUUUAAUACAGUUAGUAAGCAAAUAGAAUCUUCAAACAAGGUUUCCAUUCCAAAGUCUGCCCACCCUUCGCCAUUCAAGUCAAGAGUAAGCCGAUAGGAGACUGAGAGAGCAAAAAUCUAUUGUCAUGCUCUCCACCUAAAUAGAGAGGCAGAAACCAUAAAGGCUAAACUAGAGCAAAUAAUCAAACAAUAUGCUAACACAUUAAAGAAAAAGCUGGAAAGAAUUUGUAAACUAAAGAGCUCAAUGUUGAAAAUAUUCACAACCGUGAAAUGCAUAAAAAAGGAUAAGAUGUAUCUUAAAUGAAGAUGGUCAUGCAUAAUCAUAAAUACGAACACUCAACUUGCGCUCUGAUAACACAAUGCAGUGCUCACAAGUCAUUUCCAUCCACCACUUGAAAUAUGUCUAAUGUUUAGUGUUCAAAAACUAUGGGGAAAGGGCAAGAAUAGAAACUUACAGAUUCAACUUUCCAUCCAACACCAAAGACGAAAUCCACAGGCUCAUAACCCCUGCAGUCGAAUAACAUCAAGGGGCUAAAACCCCCAGAUUGAGCAGCUUCCUGGGUCAGUGGUUUACCCCGGCCUGGGAUCAUAGUAACAGUUCCUUCUCUCCCACAAAAUUUGCACUGUGAAGAAAGAUAUGGAGCCAGAAAAUCACCAACAACCAGAACACAGUCAUUUUAUAAAUAGAGUGAAAAAGUUUCAUCUGUAAUAUGUCACAGCAACACUUGAAAAUACAGACAAUAUGUCACGGUCAUUUAUACUACAAGUCUCUAACAGAUUAAUCUACCCAAGAAACUUGAAAAUAUGCAAGAAAUCCAUAGUACCAGAUCCUCAUUCCCACACCUUCAAAGUAAUUACUCAAGCUCAACCAAAGAAACUUAAUAAUUCUUUUUCCAUUCUAAAUCCAAGGCAUCAAAAAGCAUAUAUAGGUCAUUGAACAGAAAAAAAAUACAAUUUAUACUAGAAGUCCCAAGAAAAACUAUAUCUUGAAAGCUUGUCGCAUGCAAGCAAUUUUUACAAGAUAUCAAAAGAGCUGAAGAAUUACAUUCAAAUCAUAAAAAGAAAAGCUCUGAAGUUCACAAAGAAUCAUGAGGAUACAUUAUAGAGUUAUGUUCUAUCAUGAUUCCAUGAACUCGUUCACAACAACAGUAACAGAAAGGCCUUGGUUUUAAGUCCAAGAAAUUGAUUUGUUACACUAUGCUACUGCUAAACAUCUCCAGUUUGACUACAAACAAUAAUAUACAUCUAAGCUCAAAUGGCACCAAUUUUAACUAGCUUGAUGAAUAUAUAUAUUCAAUUAGGGAUCUCUGGUUGUAUUAAAGUUGGGAAUAAGCUAACAGACAAAAAAAAAACAGACUCCAGUGCAGUGUAUUUUGUUCCGUAUUGUGUUGAAAUUUGUGUUUUCUGUCAUUUAACUUAUCCCUAACGUUAAUAUGAUCAGGGAUCCCUGAUAGAAAACUCUCUCUCUCUCUCUCUCUCUCUCUCUCUAUAUAUAUAUAUAUAUAUAUAUAGAUAUAUGUGUGUGUGUGCGCGCGCAAUAGUGAUGUACUGCAACCUAUUUUAAUCUCCACUGCAAGUGUAUAUUACUUGAAACAAUUUACAUUAGCAAUAUCUGGUACAAGUAUCAUGACUACAGACCAUCUAAUUGCAUCAUUUAUCUAAAGAUAAAUGAUUAAAUGAAAUAUGUAACUUCACUAAACUAAGCCUGAGGUACCAGUAUAACAGCUUUUCCUUCACAGUUUGAUCAUUUGGUUAGAGCAUAUAUCUAUUUAAAGUCCUCGCAAUAAGACAAACAAGAUCACUCACAUUUUAAUACAUACACAAAGAGAGGAAGAGAGAGAGGUAUUACUUUUUGAAUGAGAUUUGUGGUUCCCUUGCCUCCUUGAGUAGGAAGAGUUUCAGCCAAGCUCACACAAGUUUCUUUCUGGCUUAGUUCUCCGCAUCCACACUUCAACUACACCUCACAAAAAAUAAACAGAUAAACAUCUAAUUCAGAGAGCAUUGCAAGAUUAAAAUUCAAUUCCAACAUUAACUAACUAGAAUCAACAAAACAAACAUAUAAUAUAAUUUGAUAAGAGUGAUAUACAAUGUUACUGAAAAUCAACUUAUAUGAACAUCCAUAAGCAUAUAUAAAUCAGAUCUGAAAAUAAUAUGAUGAGUGACAGAGAUUGAACUGAAUAUAAUCAUUAUACAUAAAAACACAAACAUACAUAACAGGAGACAACAAAUUUGAACACUUAGAAAAAGAAUCAAAACAAAAAAUCCAAAGCAAAACAAGGUGAAGAGCAUUACUAGAGAUCAUAGUCACAAUAAUCAUCUGUAUUUGAAAAUCAAGUAAAAUGAGUAACCUAAAACCAGAAACCUAAAAAUAAGUACUCGCAUUCAUUUGGUGUACGAGAGAGAGCAAUGAAAACAGAAAAGAAAAAUCCAUACCGAAAUUCAUCCAUUAUGUGAAGCAAAGCGAGCAGUGCAAGAAGUAAAUACGAAGUAAAGAAGAAUCAAGAGCGGCGAAACGGAGGUAAUACUGAGGGAGAGAAAGAGAGGGGACCUUGAAGAAGUAAGAGAAGUUAGGAUCGUCGCAGCCGCCUUGAGGUUGGAGAUUGGUGAGGUUCUCGAGAUCGGCGCUGAUCAUCAGCAUGCAAUUCACCAUUUUCGCUUAGCUUUCCAGUGCCAAAAUAUUCUCUCUCUAUUUUUUCAGCGUGCUGGAUGGACGGAUGGGUUGAGACUUGAGAGAGACAAGGUAAGUGCUCGCCGCUUCGAUCGAGGGAAUUCUAUUAUACGCGCGUGGCUUGGCGAAUGUUGCCCGCCCACGGAGAUUACAUCGAUACGAUAAUUGUUUUGAACGACAUGUCGUAUUUUUCUUGGAUGGUAAACAGACAAGACGUUUAUACUUGGUGAAAAUGCUACAAUUUUGUAAUCGGGAUUUGUAUGACCAACUAGGGUCGCAUAAAGUCAGUAGAGUUUGGUAUACAUGUACAAAUAAUUUGUUACGUGCUUUGUAUCUAAGCUGGAGAUAGUAUUAUGAUUUUAAAAAAAUUUUCAAACGAAAAAUUUUAACGAAAUCUUUCAAUUUUUUAUUUCAUUGUAUUUAACUCUAUAUAUUUCUCUAUUCGUAGAGUACAUUGAAUGUACAAAAAUAGUUAUAACAUAAUUCUUAUUAUUUGUAUUAACAGUUACUCUAUAAACAAUGUUGUUGUGAAGCUGUUAGUUUAAUUAUGUUACUAGUAUGCUGACGUGGCGAGCUGAGCUGGAGUGUGGGCCUGCUGUUAGUUAGAAGCCGUUAUUAUUAACGGUUGAUUCCAAAAACAGAGGCAUGCAUAUAUAAGGGUUGGUUUGUGGCAUAGUUAGCGUGUGAUUUUAAGGGUGAUAGAGUGAGAGAUAAUAAAUUCUGUAAACUAAAGAUUUAAUCUCUGCACUCCAUAGAUUCUUUGUGUAAUCGUCUCCAUUAAUAAAGCUUAAGCCUUCUGCUGGUUUUUCAGCCGUUGAUGUAGGUACCUUGAUACUGAACCACGUAAACUCUUUCUCUGUGCUUGCUUCUUGGUUCUUGGUUCUUGUUGAAUCUUACUGUUGUUAUUUGUUUCUAAUUCUAGUUCUUGGUUGUUCUGAGUUGAUCCUAUUAUGUUAACUAGUUCAAGGUGGUUGCAUUUGUCGAUUAAGCAUUAACAAACUGGUAUCAGAGCUUGGUUCAUUGAGGCUGUUCUUG